rnacentral:rRNA from 1 species
AGAGUUUGAUCCUGGCUCAGAACGAACGCUGGCGGCAGGCUUAACACAUGCAAGUCGAACGCACCUUCGGGUGAGUGGCAGACGGGUGAGUAACGCGUGGGAAUCUACCCAUCCCUACGGAAUAACGCAUGGAAACGUGUGCUAAUACCGUAUACGCCCUUUGGGGGAAAGAUUUAUCGGGGAUGGAUGAGCCCGCGUUGGAUUAGCUAGUUGGUGGGGUAAAGGCCUACCAAGGCGACGAUCCAUAGCUGGUCUGAGAGGAUGAUCAGCCACACUGGGACUGAGACACGGCCCAGACUCCUACGGGAGGCAGCAGUGGGGAAUAUUGGACAAUGGGCGCAAGCCUGAUCCAGCCAUGCCGCGUGAGUGAUGAAGGCCCUAGGGUUGUAAAGCUCUUUCACCGGUGAGGAUAAUGACGGUAACCGGAGAAGAAGCCCCGGCUAACUUCGUGCCAGCAGCCGCGGUAAUA